rnacentral:rRNA from 1 species
ACUCCUACGGGAGGCAGCAGUGGGGAAUAUUGCACAAUGGGGGAAACCCUGAUGCAGCCAUGCCGCGUGUGUGAAGAAGGCCUUCGGUUGUAAAGCACUUUCAGUAGGGAGGAAGGUAGUGUAGUUAACACCUGCAUUAUUUGACGUUACCUACAGAAGAAGCACCGGCUAACUCCGUGCCAGCAGCCGCGGUAAUACGGAGGGGUGCGAGCGUUAAUCGGAAUUACUGGGCGUAAAGCGCAUGCAGGCGGCCUGUUAAGUCAGAUGUGAAAGCCCGGGGGCUUAACCUCGGAAUUGCAUUUGAAACUGGCAGGCUAGAGUCUUGUAGAGGGGGUAGGAAUUUCAGGUGUAGCGGUGAAAUGCGUAGAGAUCUGAAGGAAUACCAGUGGCGAAGGCGGCCCCCUGGACAAAGACUGACGCUCAGAUGCGAAAGGCGUGGGGAGCGAAACAGGAUUAGAUACCCUGGUAGACUGUCA